rnacentral:SRP_RNA from 1 species
GCCCAGGUGCCAUGCAGCCGAACGCCGGCAAACCCCGUCAGAGCAGGAAUGCAGCAGCGGUAGUCGGAUGUGCGGCGUGCCGUGGAUUACCUGGGCUUUU